CCUACGGGUGGCAGCAGUGAGGAAUAUUGGUCAAUGGCCGGAAGGCUGAACCAGCCAAGCCGCGUGAAGGACGAAGGUGCCAAGCAUUGUAAACUUCUUUUGUCAAGGGACAAAAUCAGGCUCGAGAGCCUGACCGAGGGUACUUGAAGAAAAAGCAUCGGCUAACUCCGUGCCAGCAGCCGCGGUAAUACGGAGGAUGCGAGCGUUAUCCGGAUUUACUGGGUGUAAAGGGGGCGUAGACGGCCAGUCAAGUCAGAAGUGAAAGCCCAGGGCUCAACCCUGGGACUGCUUUUGAAACUGCCGGGCUGGAGUGCAGGAGAGGUAAGCGGAAUGCGUGGUGUAGCGGUGAAAUGCGUAGAUAUUAGGAGGAACACCAGUGGCGAAGGCGGCUUACUGGACUGUAACUGACGUUGAGGCACGAAAGCGUGGGGAGCAAACAGGAUUAGAUACCCCAGUAGUC
rnacentral:rRNA from 1 species